rnacentral:lncRNA from 1 species
AUUUAUCCAAACACUAUUUUACUCAAAGAUACUUUACAAUGGACUUUCACAAGUACCAUUUACCAAACACAAUUUACAUUUUGAAAAACUCCUUUGACUCAAGUAUCUUUACAUUUUCUCAAAGACUUUCUCCAAAAGUCUUCCCAAACGCACCCUUAUAGGGGCUGUUUCCUCUAGAUUCAAGUUGUAUUUCCUUAACUAUGCCAACCUUACUAGCAACAUCAGAGAAAACCUCUUAUAUGAUCCAUCCUAAGGGUAAACCAACAAUAUGAAUCUAGAAAUCAUAUCUAGAAAAGUCAUAGCAGUGUUCUAGAAUAUCUGACUCACAUUGUUUUAACACUAACAAGUUGUUAGCAAAGGACCAUGAUCCUGAUUUCAGAACUCUCUCCUUUUCCUCCUCUGAUUCAAAUACAAAAGAGAACAGCCCCAAUUCUUUCUGGGAACACACAAUAGCCUCCGAUUUCCACGCUUUCUUCAUAAUAUUGCAAAAUGCUUGAAAGUUAACAUUGGGUUUCGAAUAUAGCUUACCAAAGAGAGUAUGACUGCAUUCUAUUUGUUCGUUGGGUGGGAUUUCCUACUGCACUUCGAUCACAUCACUAGCUGACCAUAAAUGGCCUAAACUCUUGCACAAGGCAGCAAGACGACAUUGAUUCUCCUCCUCAUGGUCCAUGCUGGCAACAAAUCAAGAGCUCUCGCUGAGAUUGAUAAUGGGAAUCGACAUUAUCUGCUAGGGUUGAGGAUUUUUGUCGGGACAGCUUUGUUGUGGUGUUGUGAAGGGGGAGAUUGAAGGGAGCUCCGUGGAUGUUGGGUUGGAAUUUCUGGUCUGUAUACUGCUGCUGCUUCACGAUCUAGUUUCAGCGGAAGAAAAGAAGGUGCGUGUUCUGAAGGGUUAGUGUGUUUGGGUGCUGGGUCUCCAUUACAUUUGGCAAGAAAACGCUACAUUCGGAUGAAUCGGAUGGCAGGAGGCUUCAAAAGGGACUGGGUAUUUAGGGUUUAGGGUUGGAUGCUCCCAUGGAAUCGGGAGAAGUAAUCUCUACCAGCGAGAGAAAGAAGCUCUACCAGCGAGAGAGAAAGCCUACGGCAGUCCUUACUGCAAGUGGGUUGAUUUCUUGUGAAAGUUUCGAACUUUGUCGAUUCCAUUUGCCGAGAGUGUGAAGCAUGCGUUGGCCGAGUCGACCAGGUUUUUCCGGGCUUGUGCGUUAACGUGGAAAUACAAAAUUGUUCCUCGCCUUCCAGAUAAACCGAAGGAUAAUAGCUACCAGCUCAAAGGUGAGAUCUCUCCUUGUCUUGCCACGGAAGAUUCUGAAGCCACACUUCAAUUCGUGUUAUAUUAUGAUCUGAGAAAUGGAUGUUUACUGCGGGGUUCGUCCAAAUCGGUUUCGUCCAGGGGCACGAUAAAAAGAAAUGCUCCAAUAUUCCUUUUUUCAAACUUUCUUGCAAGAUUGAUUGCAGUUUUAUUUUUCAGGAGUCGGGCUUUGAUUGGAUAAGUUCAUGUUUCAAAGGAGCCUUGUGAAAUUUUGAAGACAACUGGCGUCAUACUUGUCAGCAUGCAGGGAUGGAACUAUCAUAUAAUUUUAGUGGGGUCAAUGCCCUAAAGACUGUAAGAUAAGGCAUUUCAUUUAACAAAAUAAUUAUAAAGAUGCAAUCCAGCUAUUUAUUGAUUUGAAGUAGUUUUUCUAUGUAAAGUCUACUUGAAAUCAACGCUUUGACAUUGAAU